rnacentral:rRNA from 1 species
UAAGCGACUAUACUGUGAAACUGCGAAUGGCUCAUUAAAUCAGUUAUGGUUUAUUUGAUGGUACCUACUACUUGGAUAACCGUAGUAAUUCUAGAGCUAAUACAUGCAGGAAGACCCGACUUCGGAAGGGUUGUAUUUAUUAGAUAAGAAACCAAUCCAGCUUGCUGGUUGCGUGCCGAGUCACAAUAACUGCUCGAAUCGCACGGCUUUACGCCGGCGAUGGUUCAUUCAAAUUUCUGCCCUAUCAGCUUUCGAUGGUAGGAUCGAGGCCUACCAUGGCGUUUACGGGUAACGGAGAAUUAGGGUUCGAUUCCGGAGAGGGAGCCUGAGAGAUGGCUACCACAUCCAAGGAAGGCAGCAGGCGCGUAAAUUGCCCGAAUCCUGACACAGGGAGGUAGUGACAAGAAAUAACAAUACAGGGCUACAUCUAGUCUUGUAAUUGGAAUGAGUACAAUUUACAUCUCUUCACGAGGAUCAAUUGGAGGGCAAGUCUGGUGCCAGCAGCCGCGGUAAUUCCAGCUCCAAUAGCGUAUAUUAAAGUUGUUGCAGUUAGAACGCUCGUAGUCGGAUUUCGGGGCGGGUCGACCGGUCUGCCGAUGGGUACGCACUGGUCGACGCGUCCUUCCUUCCGGAGACCGUGCCUACUCUUAACUGAGCGGGGGCGGGAGACGGAACGUUUACUUUGAAAAAAUCAGAGUGUUUCAAGCAGGCAGCUCGCUCUUGCAUGGAUUAGCAUGGGAUAAUGAAAUAGGACUUUGGUGCUAUUUUGUUGGUUUCGAACACCGAAGUAAUGAUGAGAAGGGACAGU